GACGAACGCUGGCGGCGUGCUUAACACAUGCAAGUCGAGCGAGGCCCACUCUUCGGGGUGGUGCCCUAGCGGCGAACGGGUGAGUAACACGUGGGCAACCUGCCCUCAGCUCUGGGAUAACUCCAAGAAAUUGGUGCUAAUACCGGAUGUGACCGCUGACCGCAUGGUCUGGUGGUGGAAAGUUUUUCGGUUCGUGGAGU
rnacentral:rRNA from 1 species